CCUGGAUAAGCCUGGGGUGCAAAUGUGAGCAGGUAGCUGUGGACCAGAAAGAAUGAACCCCAGGAAAGUCAGUGUGGUGAGACCGCGUGUGGCAGCGGGAGCAGCAUCUGGACACCCAGAAAAAGAAAUGAAUGCAUGAGUUCUGAGAGCAGUGAGAACAGUAUGGCACUGAUGUUCAAUGAAUAUCCGCAUCACAAACCGACCACAGAAUAUAUCCUGCCUGAAGA
rnacentral:lncRNA from 1 species